UCCCCCAACCUUUCAGCAGCGCAGCAGAGAGGAGCAGAAGAAAACAGAGCGUGGCCGGAGUUUGGAGAGAUUUGUUAGCAGGAGUUUGGAGAGAUUUGUUUGAAAAAUUUAAAGACGAAGACUUCAUCUUAACCGACGCAAGAGGCAAUUUCAGAGCAGGUCCAGGAAGAGAUCGCUAUGAGUCAAACACAGAUGGAGGUUCUGACCCCUGCGCUGAGUUAGAGAUAAGGAGAACUCACUGAUGAUGAGACCCCCAGGCUUCCACAGAAGAACAAAGUCAAACAUGAGAGAGCAAGAGAGCAUGGAGUGAGGUAGAGAGAACUGCGAUGUAGAGUGCCUG